rnacentral:rRNA from 1 species
CCCAUGGUACAUUUGUGAGGCAUCUUACAGAUGUUAAAGAUUUAUCGGUAUCGGAUGGGGAUGCGUGACAUUAGAUAGUAGGCGGGGUAACGGCCCACCUAGUCUACGAUGUCUAGGGGGUUCCUGAGAGGAAGGUCCCCCACACUGGAACUGAGAUACGGCCCAGACUCCUACGGGAGGCAGCAGUGGGGAAUAUUGGGCAAUGGGGGAAACCCUGACCCAGCAACGCCGCGUGAAGGAAGAAGGCCUUCGGGUUGUAAACUUCUUUUAACAGGGACGAAACAAAUGACGGUACCUGUUGAAUAAGCCACGGCUAACUACGUG